GACGAACGCUGGCGGCGUGCCUAAUACAUGCAAGUCGAACGCAUUUUCUUUCACCGUAGCUUGCUACACCGAAAGAAACUGAGUGGCGAACGGGUGAGUAACACGUGGGUAACGUGCCGAUCAGCGGGGGAUAACACUGGGAAACAGGUGCUAAUAUCGCGUAAUUCCAUUUACCGAAGGGUAAAUAGAUCAAAGGCGCUUUUGCGGCAUGGUGCGAUGGACCUGCGGUGCAUUGGCUAGUUGGUGGGGUAACGGGCUACCAAGGCUGCGAUGCAUAGCCGACCUGCGAGGGUGAUCGGCCACACUGGGACUGGGACACGGCCCAGACUCCUACGGGAGGCAGCAGUAGGGAAUCUUCGGCGAUGGACGCAAGUCUGACCGAGCAACGCCGCGUGAGUGAAUGAGGUUUUCGGAUCGUAAAACUCUGUUGUUAGAGAAGGACAAGGAUGGGAGUGGAAAGUUCAUCCCUUGACGGUAUCUAACCAGAAAGCCACGGCUAACUACGUG
rnacentral:rRNA from 1 species